rnacentral:rRNA from 1 species
AAGAGAUCGGGAUAACACCUGGAAACAGAUGCUAAUACCGGAUAACAANAGAUGAUGCCUAUCAACUGUUUAAAAGAUGGUUCUGCUAUCACUCUUGGAUGGACCUGCGGUGCAUUAGCUAGUUGGUAGGGUAACGGCCUACCAAGGCGAUGAUGCAUAGCCGAGUUGAGAGACUGAUCGGCCACAUUGGGACUGAGACACGGCCAAACUCCUACGGGAGGCAGCAGC